AAUCAGUUAUUGUUUAUUUGAUGGUACCUUACUACUUGGAUAACCGUAGUAAUUCUAGAGCUAAUACAUGCGUCAAACCCCGACUCUUUUUUGGGAAGGGGUGCAUUUAUUAGAUUCAAACCAUCGGCUUUCUUCACGGGAAGUCUUUUUUGAUGGUGAGUCAUAAUAACUUAAGCGAAUCGAAUAUAUGGCCUUUGUGCUGUCGAUGCUUCAUUCAAAUUUCUGCCCUAUCAGCUUUCGAUGGUAGGAUCUUGGCCUACCAUGGCUAUAACGGGUAACGGGGAAUUAGGGUUCGAUUCCGGAGAGGGAGCCUGAGAAACGGCUACCACAUCCAAGGAUGGCAGCAGGCGCGCAAAUUACCCAAUCCCGACACGGGGAGGUAGCGACAAUAAAUAACGAUGCUGGAUUAAUAUUUAAUCCGGCAAUUGGAAUGGGAGUGAUCUAAAUCAACACUCGAGGAACCAUU
rnacentral:rRNA from 1 species